GACGAACGCUGGCGGCGUGCUUAACACAUGCAAGUCGAACGGAAAGGCCCUGCUUUUGUGGGGUGCUCGAGUGGCGAACGGGUGAGUAACACGUGAGUAACCUGCCCUUGACUUUGGGAUAACUUCAGGAAACUGGGGCUAAUACCGGAUAGGAGCUCCUGCUGCAUGGUGGGGUUUGGAAAGUUUCGGCGGUUGGGGAUGGACUCGCGGCUUAUCAGCUUGUUGGUGGGGUAGUGGCUUACCAAGGCUUUGACGGGUAGCCGGCCUGAGAGGGUGACCGGCCACAUGGGGACUGAGAUACGGCCCAGACUCCUACGGGAGGCAGCAGUGGGGAAUAUUGCACAAUGGGCGGAAGCCUGAUGCAGCAACGCCGCGUGCGGGAUGACGGCCUUCGGGUUGUAAACCGCUUUCGCCUGUGACGAAGAGUGAGUGACGGUAAUGGGUAAAGAAGCACCGGCUAACUACGUG
rnacentral:rRNA from 1 species